rnacentral:rRNA from 1 species
UACGUAGGUGGCAAGCGUUGUCCGGAAUUAUUGGGCGUAAAGCGCGCGCAGGCGGCCUCUUAAGUCUGAUGUGAAAGCCCCCGGCUCAACCGGGGAGGGCCAUUGGAAACUGGGAGGCUUGAGUAUAGGAGAGAAGAGUGGAAUUCCACGUGUAGCGGUGAAAUGCGUGAGAGAUGUGGAGGAACACCAGUGGCGAAGGCGACUCUUUGGCCUAUAACUGACGCUGAGGCGCGAAAGCGUGGGGAGCAAACAGG